rnacentral:lncRNA from 12 species
CCCGGCCCUGCCUGGGAUUUCCUGUUCAGACCAGGGCACCAGACAGAAUCCUGGGCUGGGAGCCAGCCUCCUCCAAUAGUGCCUGGACAACAGUUCCAGGCCAAAAGGAGGAAGAGAGAAAGAGACAGAAAGAGAGAGAGACAGAAAGAGAGAGAUAGAGACAGAAAGAGAGAGAGAAUGAAAGAGUGAAAGAGAGAGAGAGAGAAAGGGAAAUAAAGAGAGAAAGGGAGAAAGAGUGAGAGACAGAGAGAGAGACAGAGAGACAGAGAGACAGAGAGAGAGAGACAGAGGCAGAGGAGGGAGGCGGGAGAACGAGCCCUGCCGGCAGCGCGGCCAACUUUCCUUCUGCAGCGCAGCAGGGCAGGGCAGCCUCUCAUCCCUCGGUGUGCGACCCUUGCCCCGGGUGCAUUCCUCCACAGCUGAUGCAGACAGAAGCACAAAGCACUGCAUUGACAGGGUGCAACACAAAGAGGCUGUGAAAAUUAAGAGGACUUCAGAUUUCUACUUCCAGUCUCCUGCUGCAUCUUCCCUGGUAAGAACACGGUCACACUGCUCCUCAGGGUGCCUGACAAGAGCCUGAAGACCUGUUAAGGCAUGGAGGCAGUUACAGGGCCUGGCCUUAGUGUUGUCUACAUGGACAGACCAUGGAAAACCACUGGCCACAAGAAAGGUCCUGAACCUAAGAGAGGACAAGAGUGAGAAGCUGAUGAAAGUUACAGAUAACUCCAUGAGAGACAGUCAGAUUUCACAGGUGGGGAGGAAAAAGAUACUGAUAAUGAAAACCUAUGGAAGGGAAAAGGUGGGGAGACAGGCCAGAUUAGGACAUCAUGGCUUGUCAGUACUGUAGCCAAGGAGAAAUGGCUUGAAUACUCCUCAGUGGCCCAACAACAUUUCACUAGAUCCACUAAAAGAAUGAAUCCAUCUGGAAAAAUACCUAGCUGCCAGGAAUGCUCAUGGAAUUAACUGAUUGAAUUGCAUAUACAUUUAUAAAGAUAAAUGUAUCUUUCUUAUUAAUUUCCCUGUGCUUUCUUGUCUUUUAU